GCCCGAGUGGUGAAAUUGGUAUACACGCGUGCCUUAGGAGCACGUGCCGUAAAAAGCUUGUCGGUUCGAGUCCGACCUCGGGCA
rnacentral:tRNA from 1 species